UCGGGUGAGGGUAAUGGGCAAAUUAACCUUUUCGUGAUGCCAGGGCGUAGUUAGCCUAUACAUCACCCGAGGUUGAGCCACCUUCUCCUGGGCCAGGCACGGGGCAAUAAGUUCUCCGACGCAAGGUUACAGAAAAACUGACUUUACUGAGGCAGGAUAGAUGAUAAAAUCUGGGACUUGUAGUUGAUUGUGCAGUGUAUGACUGACUUGUUGUAUGGCAACCACCGCUUGACUUUAGCGACUUGUAUGACGGACUUGACUGACUUGAAUCCCCGGGACUUUAGUGCUUACCGCUAGGCUUGACAUUCACCUGGGUGCAGGGGAUUUGCUUCAGCAGAUGCGUGAUUGCAGGAUUAGACUUGAGGCCUCCUCAGAAUCACCUCACAGACUCACUUCAGACUUCUCCAAACUGUACCUUAACUAGAUCUGAACUCUGAACUCCUACCACACUAUAUAAGGAGCAGAUUUGGAGGAUCCCUAUUGGGCAGAUAGGUCACAUGGUUCCCCUUAUACACACUCCCAUAACAACAGGGUUUCUAAGGUUUAACAGGCUUAAAGCAACAGGGAAACCAUUGUGGUGACGCCAAAGUUGUGGUGUAGGUAGAUGGGGCAGAUGGUAUAGCCCAGGAGCAAGGUGUUAUCAACCCCUAAUGUUCAUGACGCCAGAGUGGUUUUUCCGGUAACCACCCGAACAGUAGCAUCGCUAUCCCAAGGUUAGGCAGGACAAUAAUAGUCCAAGACCAGGAGACACAUAUGAAGAAUUGUAUGGGAAAAUGCUGAAACCAAAGUCCAGUUCAUGAAUUUGCUGAUUUGGCCUAAAAUUUGAUCCGAAAGAAACAGUUUAUGAUGCAAGUCGAAAACAUGAGGUUAUUUCCAGCUCCCUGACUCAUCAUUAUUAAUAUCUGACCACGAGCUGGAACAAGACGGGAGCAAAAUCCUACAGAACGUCAGACAGUCAAUGACUUUCAUUACCUGUGAGCCUACAAAUACAUAUGACAAUUUAUCUGAAAAUCAUGGGCAGCCAGUAGCUUAGCGGCAGUGACUAUGAAGUGUAAGAUGAUGAUACUGUGGUUACAAUCACAAUAACCUGCACAAGCUUCUCCAGCUUCAAAAAGAAUCAUAAGAUUUUAUUUAUGGACACUGGAAAUAAGUCCCUUAUAUUUUGAGCAGUCUAGGAAUUUACAGACAGUUGACGAACCUUACAUCUUAUAUUUCUCUCCCAUUUUCUCCCCACCCUUCAUCUUC